rnacentral:rRNA from 1 species
CACGUAGGCUGUUUGGUAAGUCAGGGGUGAAAUCCCGCGGCUCAACCGCGGAAUUGCCCUUGAUACUGCUGGACUUGAGUCCGGGAGAGGGUGGCGGAAUUCCAGGUGUAGGAGUGAAAUCCGUAGAUAUCUGGAGGAACAUCAGUGGCGAAGGCGGCCACCUGGACCGGUACUGACGCUGAGGUGCGAAAGCGUGGGGAGCAAACAG